GCUCGGCCAGCCUGUGGUCCGCCUUUGUCACAAGGUGCUGUUUAUUCUGCCUGCAAGUUCCAAGGACAGGACAAACCGGCUAAAUGAACCUUUUAUUUCUCCCAUUCUCUGGCAGAAAUUCCUUGGGUCAAAAACAUUUAUUAGUAUUAGAUUAAAGGAGAGGCAUCAGAAUCCUCCAAAGAAGCUUCCCUACCGCUGUGGAAAACCUAGAAAAGCUUGGUAAAUUAGAAAACAUUUUUGUGAUGCACUCUCAUUUAUGGCAGUUAAGAUGAAGAAGAUGAGGCUGAAGAGGUUAAAUGAUCCAUUCAAGGUCACCCAGAGAACUGAGACCAGAGGGAAGACCUCUUUAUGAUGGACCCCACUCCAUUCCACCGGGCGUGAUGUCUCUCAAAAUUUUGAGCUCUCCUCCUUUACCCAGUCUUAUUAAACCUUCUUUCUU